AUGUGGCCUGCGCAUGCGCAGAGGGAUUUGAGCUUCGCGGUCGAGCCCACGGACAACAACGCACCCUGCGCUAUGGGAGUGCAGCGCCCCCCUGUGGCCACGACCGGAAGGGCCGGAGAACCAGGAGCUGCCCACCGCCCCCUGGUGGCAAGGACAGCGGCUAGGCUGCCGAAGUUCUCCGGCGUAACGCAGCUGGAGCCAUACCUGGCCCAGUUCCGGCUGGCGGCGUGGGGUGCCGAGGAGGCGGUUGUCCACCUGGCUCUGGCGUUGGAGGGGACGGUAGCAAGGGUGCUGCUUGACCUGGACAAAGCGGACCAGCGAGACCUUCAGGCCCUGAUCCGAGCACUGGAGAGGCGGUUGGGUGAACGGGUCUCCCGCAACGAGAGCAAGCAGUUGCUGGCUUCUCACCGCCGCAGGGAGGAGGAGAGCCUGGGCGUCUACGCUGCUGACGUCCAGCUCUUGACCCGGCGCAGCUACCCGGAAUUCUCCGCGGCUACACGGGAGCCCUGGCGCUCUUCGCUUUCCUGCGGGGACUGCAGCCGGAGAGUCUGGGGCAGCAUGUCCGCCUCACCGAGCCCCAUACCCUCGAUGCGGCUCUGGACCAGGCGGAACGGGCUGAGGAGGAGCUCUGCCGCCGUGCAUCCGUGGACGCGGCUGGGGCAGCGGCCGCCCCCGGCACAAAGAAUGUGGAGGUCAAGUCCAGGCAGCGGAAGGGCCGGAUCCGGACGGCCACCCUUCCCGCCAGCGAGACGGCUGAGGCUUCCCUUGCGCAGUGUCGGCAGCUGGGGCUGGUCGAGGACUGCGGGUGGACGGGGCAGCGUGCCACUCAUCCUCGUCGGAAGGCCAGACGUCGGAGGGCGGCGAAGGAUGGGGUGCCCGAACGGCGCCCCAGAGGCCCCCUACAGCAGAACCUGGUGGGGGCCCCAAUUGAGGUGGUCCCCGACCACACCCCCAGGACCUCUGCAGACAAUUGGAGACGGGCGUCCCAACCCGAGGGGAAGGCUGCACCGCAACGGGGCCGCUACUGGCAGUGGCCAAGGCGGCGGCGCCGGCCCCCUGAACACUCGGGACUGUGCAGUGGGUGUUGGGGUCGUCGGGACGUCUGACCCCUAA
rnacentral:lncRNA from 1 species